CCUACGGGUGGCUGCAGUGGGGAAUAUUGGGCAAUGGACGCAAGUCUGACCCAGCAACGCCGCGUGAAGGAAGAAGGCUUUCGGGUUGUAAACUUCUUUUAAGAGGGAAGAGCAGAAGACGGUACCCCUUGAAUAAGCCACGGCUAACUACGUGCCCGCAGCCGCGGUAAUACGUAGGUGGCAAGCGUUUUCCGGAUUUACUGGGGGUAAAGGGCGUGCAGCCGGGGAGGCAAGUCAGAUGUGAAAUCCGCGGGCUCAACUCGCGAACUGCAUUUGAAACUGCUUCCCUUGAGUGUCGGAGAGGUAAUCGGAAUUCCUAGUGUAGCGGUGAAAUGCGUAGAUAUUAGGAAGAACACCAGUGGCGAAGGCGGAUUACUGGACGACAACUGACGGUGAGGCGCGAAAGCGUGGGGAGCAAACAGGAUUAGAUACCCCAGUAGUC
rnacentral:rRNA from 1 species